rnacentral:misc_RNA from 1 species
AACGCAUAUUGCGCCUUCUGGUACUCCAGGAGGCAUGCCUGUCUGAGCGUCAUUACAUCAUUUAAACCAACUUGUUGUGUUUAGACUUGGGAGUUUGAUUACUGAACUGGCAUCUGCUAGUUUGUUGUAUAUCUCUUCUGUAAUGUAUUGAUAGCGAUACAAGCCUUCAGUCGUAACAAGUUUACUUUUUGUUUACAUUCGACUUUGAUUGCCUGUGUUACAUUGUCUAUUUCUUUUCGACAUGGCUUUUGCCAUUGUCAACCUAAAGAUUUGACCUCAGAUCAGGUAGGAAUACCCGCUGAACUUAA